AGAUUCGCAGGCCGCGGUUUCCCCCCCCCCCGCCCCGGGAAAGGAGUGUGCACGCGCUUCGGGUGCGUGAAGGUGGAGGGUGAGAAGGCUAGCACUCCUUGCGCUGGCCUCCGUCACGUUUCUAUCGGCUGUGGGGAAUUGGGAAGAAGAGCUUUGAGCCACUCGCUCUGCCAGGUUCUCCCAACAGGACAAUAAACUCAUCUGGAAGGCAGAGGGCCUGCCCAUUCAUAAACCUGUUGAUGUGGUCCCCAGAGUACCAGUUUAAGAUGAUAAGACCAACACUGUUGAUUCUGGGGCCAGAACUGGGACAAGUCCUUGAUCCGUCUACACUAGCUGUAUACACCAUCUACCUCCUGAGAGGAUUCAUUUUUCUUCCUAUUGCAACUCACUCUCGCAGAUGGAGCAGUCAUUUUGAGAGCAUGAAGAUGAAGAUACGUGAAAAAGCCAGAAGGACUCUGGUCUCUCAAGGUACCAUGAGACCACACCUACUACCCCAGUUUACCUACCUCCAGACAUCUCCAGAAGUCUUGCUCUGAGAAAAAUAAAAGCCCAUUUGGUUGACCAAUAUGGGGGGAGGUACCUUUAUGACCAAGGUUUUGGAUUCAGUAGGCUUGGGGUAGGGCCCAGGAACCUGUAUCUUUAACAUGAUCUCCAAGUGAUUCUCAGGCCAUAAGCAAAGAUCAUCCUGGAGAAACUUUGCUUUGGCCCCAGAAAAUAGGAAAUUUAGUGACAGCUGGGGAGGAAGGGAGAGAAGCAUCACAAACCUGAGUAGAGCAAGUCAUGUUAUAAAUUGCCAUCAGCACAUAAAAGCUUCCAAAUGAUUGUUCAGACUGUAUGUUUUGAUCCACCAAUACCGUCCCUAUAUUUUCUAACUUACGAGACAUCACAGAGAAAAAAGAAAUGACAGAAAAACUAGAAAUCACUUUUAGCAGAUUUGUCACCUUAAUCCUCAUUUAGCUUGAUUGUGAAAUCCUGUUGAGGAGCUUAAAGGAGAGCAUUUUCUUCCUGAGAAUCGUUGCCCUGUAUAAUACUGACUUGGUUGGCCCAAGAAAUAUAAUACAUAUUCGAUUUGCCUAAGUGCAGCUCAGCAGUUUCCUUUCCAAGCGGCAACACUAAAUAUAAUAAAUGGAUGCCACCUCUGUCUAAAUAAAUAAAUGAUUUUAAUUG
rnacentral:lncRNA from 1 species